UACGUAGGGUGCGAGCGUUGUCCGGAAUUACUGGGCGUAAAGAGCUUGUAGGCGGUUUGUCGCGUCUGCUGUGAAAAUCCGGGGCUCAACCCCGGACUUGCAGUGGGUACGGGCAGACUAGAGUGUGGUAGGGGAGACUGGAAUUCCUGGUGUAGCGGUGAAAUGCGCAGAUAUCGGGAAGAACACCCGUGGCGAAGGCGGCUCUCUGGGACGGUACUGACGCUGAGACGCGAAAGCGUGGGGAGCGAACAGG
rnacentral:rRNA from 1 species